AGUCGACGAACUUCUUUAUCACCGAGUGCUUGCACUCACCGAUAAAGAGUUGAGUGGCGAACGGGUGAGUAACACGUGGGCAACCUGCCCAAAAGAGGGGGAUAACACUUGGAAACAGGUGCUAAUACCGCAUAACCAUAGUUACCGCAUGGUAACUAUGUAAAAGGUGGCUAUGCUACCGCUUUUGGAUGGGCCCGCGGCGCAUUAGCUAGUUGGUGGGGUAAAGGCUUACCAAGGCAAUGAUGCGUAGCCGAACUGAGAGGUUGAUCGGCCACAUUGGGACUGAGACACGGCCCAAACUCCUACGGGAGGCAGCAGUAGGGAAUCUUCCACAAUGGGCGAAAGCCUGAUGGAGCAACGCCGCGUGGGUGAAGAAGGUCUUCGGAUCGUAAAACCCUGUUGUUAGAGAAGAAAGUGCGUGAGAGUAACUGUUCACGUUUCGACGGUAUCUAACCAGAAAGCCACGGCUAACUACGUGCCAGCAGCCGCGGUAAUACGUAGGUGGCAAGCGUUAUCCGGAUUUAUUGGGCGUAAAGGAAACGCAGGCGGUCUUUUAAGUCUGAUGUGAAAGCCUUCGGCUUAACCGGAGUAGUGCAUUGGAAACUGGGAGACUUGAGUGCAGAAGAGGAGAGUGGAACUCCAUGUGUAGCGGUGAAAUGCGUAGAUAUAUGGAAGAACACCAGUGGCGAAAGCGGCUCUCUGGUCUGUAACUGACGCUGAGGUUCGAAAGCGUGGGUAGCAAACAGGAUUAGAUACCCUGGUAGUCCACGCCGUAAA
rnacentral:rRNA from 1 species